rnacentral:rRNA from 1 species
UGGGGAAUUUUGGACAAUGGGCGCAAGCCUGAUCCAGCCAUGCCGCGUGCGGGAAGAAGGCCUUCGGGUUGUAAACCGCUUUUGUCAGGGAAGAAAUCUUCUGAGUUAAUACCUCGGGAGGAUGACGGUACCUGAAGAAUAAGCACCGGCUAACUACGUGCCAGCAGCCGCGGUAAUACGUAGGGUGCAAGCGUUAAUCGGAAUUACUGGGCGUAAAGCGUGCGCAGGCGGUUUUGUAAGACAGAGGUGAAAUCCCCGGGCUCAACCUGGGAACUGCCUUUGUGACUGCAAGGCUUGAGUGCGGCAGAGGGGGAUGGAAUUCCGCGUGUAGCAGUGAAAUGCGUAGAUAUGCGGAGGAACACCGAUGGCGAAGGCAAUCCCCUGGGCCUGCACUGACGCUCAUGCACGAAAGCGUGGGGAGCAAACAGGAUUAGAUACCCUGGUAGUCCACGCCCUAAACGAUGUCAACUGGUUGUUGGGAAGGUUCCUUCUCAGUAACGUAGCUAACGAGUGAAGUUGACCGCCUGGGGAGUACGGCCGCAAGGUUGAAACUCAAAUGAAUUGAC